UCGCUAGUAAUCGCAGAUCAGCAUGCUGCGGUGAGUACGUUCCCGGGUCUUGUACACACCGCCCGUCACACCAUGGGAGUCGGAAAUGCCCGAAGUCAGUGGCCCAACCGCAAGGAGGGAGCUGCCGAAGGCAGGUCCGGUGACUGGGGUGAAGUCGUAACAAGGUAAC
rnacentral:rRNA from 1 species